rnacentral:tRNA from 1 species
GCGCGAGCUGGGCACGCGGUGAGCCCACCCGGCUGUAAACCGGACGCUUCGGCUGUGGCGGUUCGACUCCGUCCUCGCGCA